rfam:Peniophora sp. CONT PENSPscaffold_317_Cont430, whole genome shotgun sequence.
GGCGCCUUAGCCAAGUGGUUACGGCGAGAGAUUAGAAAUCUCUUCUCCUUUGGAGGCGUAGGUUCGAAUCCUGCAGGCGUCG